GACAGAGGGUGCAAACGUUGUUCGGAAUUACUGGGCGUAAAGCGCGUGUAGGCGGCUAAGUAAGUCGGGCGUGAAAUCCCACGGCUCAACCGUGGAAGUGCACUCGAAACUGCAUAGCUAGAGUCCUGGAGAGGAAGGUGGAAUGCUUGGUGUAGAGGUGAAAUUCGUAGAUAUCAAGCGGAACACCGGUGGCGAAGGCGGUUCUCUGGGCAUUACCUGACGCUGAGGGGCGAAAGUGUGGGGAGCGAACAGG
rnacentral:rRNA from 1 species